rnacentral:piRNA from 1 species
UACAGUGGCUUGAGAGACAUCAGAAGUUCUU